UGAGCUGGCGGCAGGCUUACACAUGCAAGUCGAGCGGGCGAGGUUGCUUCGGUAACUGAGCUAGCGGCGGACGGGUGAGUAAUGCUUAGGAAUCUGCCUAUUAGUGGGGGACAACAUUCCGAAAGGGAUGCUAAUACCGCAUACGCCCUACGGGAGAAAGCAGGGGAUCACUUGUGACCUUGCGCUAAUAGAUGAGCCUAAGUCGGAUUAGCUAGUUGGUGGGGUAAAGGCCUACCAAGGCGACGAUCUGUAGCGGGUCUGAGAGGAUGAUCCGCCACACUGGGACUGAGACACGGCCCAGACUCCUACGGGAGGCAGCAGUGGGGAAUAUUGGACAAUGGGGGGAACCCUGAUCCAGCCAUGCCACGUGUGUGAAGAAGGCCUUUUGGUUGUAAAGCACUUUAAGUGGGGAGGAGGCUUACCUGGUUAAUACCUGGGCUAAGUGGACGUUACCCACAGAAUAAGCACCGGCUAACUCUGUGCCAGCAGCCGCGGUAAUACAGAGGGUGCGAGCGUUAAUCGGAUUUACUGGGCGUAAAGCGCGCGUAGGUGGUUAAUUAAGUCAAAUGUGAAAUCCCCGAGCUUAACUUGGGAAUUGCAUUCGAUACUGGUUAGCUAGAGUAUGGGAGAGGAUGGUAGAAUUUCCAGGUGUAGCGGUGAAAUGCGUAGAGAUCUGGAGGAAUACCGAUGGCGAAGGCAGCCAUCUGGCCUAAUACUGACACUGAGGUGCGAAAGCAUGGGGAGCAAACAGGAUUAGAUACCCCUGGUAGUCCAUGCCGUAAACGAUGUCUACUAGCCGUUGGGGGAUUUGAUCCUUUAGUGGCGCAGCUAACGCGAUAAGUAGACCGCCUGGGGAGUACGGUCGCAAGACUAAAACUCAAAUGAAUUGACGGAAG
rnacentral:rRNA from 1 species